UACGGGGGGGGCAAGCGUUGUUCGGAAUUACUGGGCGUAAAGGGCGCGUAGGCGGCCUGCUAAGUCGAACGUGAAAUCCCCGGGCUCAACCCGGGAACUGCGUCCGAUACUGGCAGGCUUGAAUCCGGGAGAGGGAUGUGGAAUUCCAGGUGUAGCGGUGAAAUGCGCAGAUAUCAGGAGGAACACCGGUGGCGAAGGCGGGUCUCUGGGCCGAUACUGACGCUGAGGAGCGAAAGCGUGGGGAGCGAACAGG
rnacentral:rRNA from 1 species